GUGCUCACUUUGGCAGCACACGCGGUAAGACUGGGGUGACAGAGACGAUUAGCAUGACCCUUGUGCAAAGAUGCCGUGCAAAUUCGCCAAGCGGUCUAUAUUCUU
ensembl:snRNA U6 U6 spliceosomal RNA